rnacentral:rRNA from 1 species
AUUGAACGCUGGCGGAAUGCUUUACACAUGCAAGUCGAACGGCAGCACGGGGCAACCUGGUGGCGAGUGGCGAACGGGUGAGUAAUACAUCGGAACGUGCCCAAUCGUGGGGGAUAACGUAGCGAAAGUUACGCUAAUACCGCAUACGAUCUACGGAUGAAAGCGGGGGAUCGCAAGACCUCGCGCGAAUGGAGCGGCCGCUGUCAGAUUAGGUAGUUGGCGGGGUAAAGGCUAACCAAGCCGACGAUCUGUAGCUGGUCUGAGGGGACGACCAGCCCCACUGGGGCUAGGACACGGCCCAGACUCCUGCGGGAGUCAGCAGUGGGGAAUUUUGGACAAUGGGCGCAAGCCUGAUCCAGCCAUUCCGCGUGCAGGAUGAAGGCCUUCGGGUUGUAAACUGCUUUUGUACGGAGCGAAAAGGCUCUCUCUAAUACAGGGGGCUCAUGACGGUACCGUAAGAAUAAGCACCGGCUAACUACGUGCCAGCAGCCGCGGUAACAC